rnacentral:rRNA from 1 species
GAUGAACGCUAGCUACAGGCUUAACACAUGCAAGUCGAGGGGUAACGAGAGGAAAGCUUGCUUUCCUUGUCGACGACCGGCGCACGGGUGAGUAACGCGUAUCCAACCUGCCCCCAACUAGGGAAUAACCUUGCGAAAGUAAGACUAAUACCCUAUAAUUUCCUCAGAUGACAUCUGACGAGGAAUAAAGAUUUAUCGGUUGUGGAUGGGGAUGCGUCUGAUUAGCUUGUUGGCGGGGUAACGGCCCACCAAGGCAACGAUCAGUAGGGGUUCUGAGAGGAAGGUCCCCCACAUUGGAACUGAGACACGGUCCAAACUCCUACGGGAGGCAGCAGUGAGGAAUAUUGAUCAAUGGGCGGAAGCCUGAACCAGCCAAGUAGCGUGCAGGAUGACGGCCCUAUGGGUUGUAAACUGCUUUUAUGCAGGAAUAAAGUUAGCCACGUGUGGUUAUUUGUAGGUACUGUAUGAAUAAGGACCGGCUAAUUCCGUGCCAGCAGCCGCCGUAA